rnacentral:rRNA from 1 species
CAGGAACGACAUUUUCGUUCCACCAUUGUUGCGUUUGGUCAGGAGAAAACCUUGUCCAGUAUCACCGAUAUUACCGAAGAUAUCAAUCGAAUUCGACAGUUGGAACGGCUCUUGGCGAUCGAAGAAAAACAAAAUCAGCAAUUACAUGAAUUUGCGCACAUCGUUUCACAUCACUUCCGUUCGCAAGUCUCAGGGGUUUUGGGAAUUCUUCAUUUGAUGUCCUUGGAAGAUCCAGAACGCUACCGAAAUUUGGAUAUCCAAUUUAUUCAAAAAGCCAGCGACCAAUUAAAUACCACGAUAGGACACUUGGCGCAGAUUUUAGAUAUGCGUCGAAGUACAGAAGGAAAAUGGCGAACGUUCAAUUUGGUGCCACUAUUGCAGGAAGUGGCUGCGGCAGAACUUGACAAAUGCUACGAAAUUCAAGGGGAGUUGACCUGUAUCUGCGAUGGGGAAUCUUGGUAUUUACACUCCGUACCCGAGUACAUUCAAGGAAUUAUCCAAGAGCUAAUUCGAAAUGCAAAAAGAUUUCGGGAUGAAAAAAGAAAGCUGAAGAUCACCAUCCAAUUGGUCGUUGAGCCCGAAUGGUAUCAGAUACACGUACAAGAUAAUGGUUUGGGUAUGGAUGAGCGGACGCUAGGACACAUUUUUUCUAUGUAUAAGUCCUACAACCAUGGAGCCGAGUCGUUCCAAGGCCUUGGGCUAUUCAUUGCCCACCACCAAGCCGAGGUAUUAGGCGGAACAUUAACCGUUUCUAGUGUGAUCGGGGCCGGGACUACAUUCGUUUUGUCUUUACCCAGAGUUUCAUAACGGAAGCUCCGUCGUACUUUUUACCUCCGACAUCACAAAAAAGGAAUUUAUCAACGAUACCCCUGGGAUGAUGGACAGUUUUUGUUGGUGAAACUCAUGGUAUGCUUCCAUGUCUGGGACGAUUAUUUUCAGCAAAUAAUCAAAGCUCCCCGACACAAAAUGACAUUCUUGAACCUGAUUUAACUCCUUAAUGAUGCGAUUGAAUUCGUCGGCUACUUCCUUGGUUUGUUUAAUCAGCGUAACCUGGCAAUAAACAAUCAAAUUUCGACCCACCGCCUUCUUAUUGACCAACGCCACAUACCGAUCUAUAACCCCCGAUGCUUCCAUUUUCUUGAUCCGGUCAUGAACGGGAGUCAAUGACAAUUUAAUUUUCUCAGCAAUUUCUUUAUAGGUUAGCUGGGAAUUGUGCUGAAUGAGCCUUAAAAUCUGCUUGUCAAUUUGAUCCAUGUCAAUUUUGUUUAGGUAAAACACCUUCAAUAUCGUGACUGGGAAACAGAGUAUGGGAGAGGAUGGUAGAAUUCCAGGAGUAGCGGUAUCGUGACUGGGAAACAUCAGGGUUAGUCGGGGCCUAAGGAGCAGCCGAAAGGCGAAUCUGAUGGACAAAUGGUUAAUAUUCCAUUACCUGUAUAAUAAGUUAAGGAGAGACGGAGUAGUGACACACACGCCAACUGACGGAAUAGUUGGUUAAAGGCCGUAGGUAUAAGUAGAGGUUAAGAGCUGCUACUUGCUGAUGGCUUACAGUACACGGAGUCUUCGGAUGAAGUGAUAGUUGUGGUAAACAGACUUCCAAGAAAAUCUUCAGCGCGUUAAUUAUUAUACAGCCCGUACCGUAAACCGACACAGGUGGGUGAGGAGAGAAUCCUAAGGUGCUCGAGUGAAUCAUGGCUAAGGAACUCGGCAAAUUAACCCCGUAACUUCGGGAUAAGGGGACCCUAGAGAUAGGGCGCAGAGAAAUGGCCCAGGCGACUGUUUAACAAAAACACAGGGCUUUGCUAAAUCGAAAGAUGAUGAAUAAGGCCUGACACCUGCCCGGUGCUGGAAGGUUAAGAGGGGAUGUUAGCGUAAGCGAAGCAUUGAAUCGAAGCCCCAGUAAACGGCGGCCGUAACUAUAACGGUCCUAAGGUAGCGAAAUUCCUUGUCGGGUAAGUUCCGACCUGCACGAAUGGUGUAACGAUCUGGGUACUGUCUCAGCCAUGAGCUCGGUGAAAUUGUAGUAGCGGUGAAGAUGCCGCUUACCCGCAACGGGACGGAAAGACCCCGUGAACCUUUACUGCAACUUAGCGCUGAUUUUGGGUAAUCGAUGUGUAGGAUAGGUGGGAGACUGCGAAGCGGGUACGCUAGUAUUCGUGGAGUCGCUGUUGAAAUACCACCCUUUGAUUAUUUGGAAUCUAACUUCGAGAGAAAGACACCGCUUGGUGGGUAGUUUGACUGGGGUGGUCGCCUCCAAAAGAGUAACGGAGGCUUCCCAAGGUGCACUCCGCACGAAUGGUAACCGUGCAAAGAGUAUAUUGGUAUAAGUGCGCUUGACUGUGAGACCGACAAGUCGAACAGGUACGAAAGUAGGGCAAAGUGAUCCGGUGGUUCCGCAUGGGUGGGCCAUCGCUCAAAGGAUAAAAGGUACUCCGGGGAUAACAGGCUGAUCGCUCCCAAGAGCUCAAAUCGACGGAGCGGUUUGGCACCUCGAUGUCGGCUCGUCACAUCCUGGGGCUGGAGCAGGUCCCAAGGGUUCGGCUGUUCGCCGAUUAAAGUGGCACGCGAGCUGGGUUCAGAACGUCGUGAGACAGUUCGGUCCCUAUCUGUUGUGGGCGUAGGAAGUUUGAGGGGGUCUGACCUUAGUACGAGAGGACCGGGUUGGACGCACCGCUAGUUUACCGGUUGUGGCGCCAGCUGCACCGCCGGGUAGCUAUGUGCGGUUUAGAUAAGCGCUGAAAGCAUCUAAGCGCGAAGCUAGCCCCAAGAUGAGACUUCCCUUGAGGGUCGUGGGAGACUACCAGGUUGAUAGGUUCAGUGUGUAAGCAGAUUAUCGUGACUGGGAAAC